GUGGGGAAUCUUGCGCAAUGGGCGAAAGCCUGACGCAGCGACGCCGCGUGGGUGAUGAAGGCCUUCGGGUUGUAAAGCCCUGUGGGGAGGGACGAACAAGCUGCGACCCAACACGUCGCGGACCUGACGGUACCUCCUUAGCAAGCACCGGCUAACUCUGUGCCAGCAGCCGCGGUAAGACAGAGGGUGCAAACGUUGCUCGGAAUUACUGGGCGUAAAGCGCAUGUAGGCGGCUUCGUAAGUCGGGUGUGAAAUCCCUCGGCUCAACCGGGGAAGUGCACUCGAUACUGCGAAGCUAGAGUACCGGAGAGGGUCGUGGAAUUCCUGGUGUAGAGGUGAAAUUCGUAGAUAUCAGGAGGAACACCGGCGGCGAAGGCGGCGACCUGGACGGAUACUGACGCUCAGAUGCGAAAGCGUGGGUAGCAAACAGGAUUAGAUACCCCAGUAGUCC
rnacentral:rRNA from 1 species